AUUGAACGCUGGCGGCAGGCCUAACACAUGCAAGUCGAACGAGUGGCGGACGGGUGAGUAAUGUCUGGGAAACUGCCUGAUGGAGGGGGAUAACUACUGGAAACGGUAGCUAAUACCGCAUACCAUCAGAUGUUCCCAGAUGGGAUUAGCUAGUUGGUGGGGUAAUGGCUCACCUAGGCGACGAUCCCUAGCUGGUCUGAGAGGAUGACCAGCCACACUGGAACUGAGACACAGUCCAGACUCCUGCGGGAGGCAGCAGUGGUGAUUAGUGCACAAUGGGCGCAAGCCUUAUGCAUCCAUGCCUCGUGUGUGAAGAAGGCCUUCGGGUUGUAAAGCACGUUCAGCGAGGAGGCGGUACUCGCAGAAGAAGCACCGGCUAACUCCGUGCCAGCAGCCGCGGUAAUAC
rnacentral:rRNA from 1 species